UGUUAUUUCGUUGUAGAUUAUCAUACUCGCACUUCUGAGAUUCACAAACCAGAAAAGAAAAACUCAAAAAGCUUUCGUGAAGUUUCUGGAGAUUCCUCAUGUUUUGAAGCUGAUGCAGAUAAAGUGGUUUGGUUACCUCCAUCAGAUCAAAGUGGUGAUGGACGUACUUCUUUGAAUGAGAAAUAUGGCUACUGAUCUCUCCAAGAUUCCAUUCUCCACCCCCAUCCCCCACUAGAACAUUUCAAAUCUCCAUGAACUUCUGAUGCAUUAAAACAUUUCCAUAUAAGACUA
rnacentral:lncRNA from 1 species